rnacentral:misc_RNA from 1 species
CCAGGAGACACUCUUUCCAUCAAUUCGAUACUCGCUACCGCCUGCGCUUGUGAUUGUUCUGGUAAAUUGAAGCUCCGACCCAUUCCCCAUCUGAUAAACAAGCCGAACGAACGCCCUCCGUCCCUUCUGUUCCUUCUCUCUAUCAUCGUAAGCGUAGAUUAAGUCCUUCAACUGUGCCCCACGUAGUUGCCCAGUCCGUACACCAAGCACGAAGCUUAUGGCAUCCAUGAGGUUGG